rnacentral:lncRNA from 1 species
AUUAUAAGUAUGUUUUCUACAAUUCAUCAUUUUUCUUUAUCGUAUAUAAAUAUUUCAUCCAACGGGAUUGUGCAAGUAUAUAUAAUACUUACGAACUUAAACGAAGAAAUAUGAACGUGCCGCCAUUUCGUUUGUCCAAUCAGCACGCCGUAAUUUAGACGUUUUCUUGUCACCGCGGGAACAGGAUAGUUGAUUGCUGAUAAAAAUCAUUUCCACAGUA